rnacentral:lncRNA from 1 species
UAGGAUUACAGGCGUGAGCCACCGUGCCCAGCCCCAUUUUCAUUACUAGUCAUAUCCCAGUGCCCAGAGCAGGGUCUAGCAUACAGUAGGUGCUUAGUAAGUAUGUAGUAAAUAAAUGAAUGAAAUAGCCUCAAAAGAGGGGCAAGUCAGGUGCAGCUGAAGGCAGAGGAAUGAGUGAUUGCCAAGGCAGGGUGGAAACGGUGAAACUUAAAUGAGUGAUUCACUGAGGUGAGGGCGGAGGCAGGGGCACGCGUGGCUGGUAGGGCAGAUGUGAAAUCACAGCACGCGGUUAGUAUAGUGAUGUUAGCGUAAAGGCUACCCAGGUAGAGAGAAAGUCUGAGGGUAAAGCUAGAAAAUAUCAAGAUAGUAGUAGGUCUUGGAUGUCAUUAUAAGAUGUUUAGACCUAUUUCCCUGUGGCAGUGAUGAGCCCAUGAAAGUUCCUGAGGCCAGCAGUGAUGUGGUCUCUGCAUUGCUUUAGAAAGAUCCCUGAGGGAGGUUGUAGUGAGCUGAGAUCAUGCCACUGCACUCCAGCCUGGGUGACAGAGCAGGACUCCAUCUCAAAUAAAAAAAAAAAAAAUGCAAGAUCCCUGAGGAAGUGGAGGUGGCUGGGUGGGGAAAGGCAGGAGGCAAGGGGUCUGUGGGGGAGGAUGAGCAACUGUCAGAGCAGCGACUUCGGGAGAUGUUUGGAGCAGACCCUGUGGCACUCAGUGGAGUCCAGGGAGGCCUCAAGGUUGGAUUCAGAGUAGAAGCUGCUGUCACUUACUGAGAAAGCAGAUGUUAGAAGAGUGUCAGUUUCAUUGGUGUACAACCAGGGUGGUUGCACAGGGCCCCGUGCUCAGAAGGACCCGGAACUGGCAGGGGUGUGAGAAGGACCCUUCUAGAUUGGGGGGGUUAAUGCUCUGUGGUGGCCAUCUUGAAUUUCUUAAUAAUUUUGUCUUUAAAUUUGUGUUUUGUAGGUGAAGUCUGAUGGGACCAUGGAGCCUCAGCUCAUAGUGAGCCAGAAUUAAUCAGGCCCCGGCUUACCUGAUACAGAGGAGACACACCUGUGUUCCUUUGGCACAGACAUUCUGGAGUCCCAGUGCCCAGGAAAGAAGACGGGAGGCAGUAGCAGAGCCUGGGAGAGAUGGCCUGAGGAUGUUGUGAUGGAAGACUGUAUAUGAUCAUAUGCACUGCUGUCCAGUCUGCAGAGCCAUGUGGGGGCAAGAAGCAGAGGCAAGGAGCUGCCUGCAUGUGGGCUCUGCUUCUCUAUCCCUCACUCCGUCUCCUCCGCUGCAAAAAGAGGACAGCAAUAGCACCUGCUGCAGAGGGGUAUGUGAGAAUUAAAAGCUACUAAAGAGUAUCCCAAAAGUCCUAGAGCAGUUUUAAGUUUUAAUAACUGUGAAAGUACAAGUACUACAAACAUAUAAAAAAAGCCAGCUGAGUGCAGUGGCUCUAGCCUGUAAUCCCAGUACUUGAGGAGGUAGA